UGGGGGAUAUUGCACAAUGGGCGAAAGCCUGAUGCAGCGACGCCGCGUGGGGGAUGAAGGCCUUCGGGUUGUAAACUUCUUUUGCUCUGAACAAGGCAUGCCUUUGGGGUGUGUUGAGUGUAGGGGUUGAUUAGCGCCGGCUAACUACGUGCCAGCAGCCGCGGUAAUACGUAGGGCGCGAGCGUUGUCCGGAAUUAUUGGGCGUAAAGGGCUUGUAGGUGGCUGGUUGCGUCUGUCGUGAAAGCUCAUGGCUUAACUGUGGGUUUGCGGUGUGUACGGGAUGGCUUGAGGGCAGUAGGGGAGGCUGGAAUUCCUGGUGUAGCGGUGGAAUGCGCAGAUAUCAGGAGGAAUACCGGUGGCGAAGGCGGGUCUCUGGGCUGUUACUGACGCUGAGGAGCGAAAGCGUGGGGAGCGAACAGG
rnacentral:rRNA from 1 species